UACGGGGGGGGCAAGCGUUGUUCGGAAUUACUGGGCGUAAAGGGCGCGUAGGCGGGUGGUCAAGUCUCGUGUGAAAGCCCACGGCUCAACCCAGGACGUGCGCGUGAGACUGUCGGGCUUGAGUCCGGGAGAGGAUGGUGGAAUUCCCAGUGUAGCGGUGAAAUGCGUAGAUAUUGGGAGGAACACCCGUGGCGAAGGCGGCCAUCUGGACCGGUACUGACGCUAAGGCGCGACAGCGUGGGGAGCAAACAGG
rnacentral:rRNA from 1 species